UGCCGCCCCAGCCAAACUCCCCACCUGACAAUGUUUUCCACAAAGGUCAAGCGCCAUGGGUGGCACCAUUAUUACAAAAACUUGAGACAUUCAAGUUCCAACGAUACAGAAUAAGUAAAACAACAUUAAGAGUAGUGGUAUUUCAAGAUCGCCCAAACUCCCACUUAUGCUACACCUCCUAAGUCAUUUCACAAAGUCAGAUUAGAGUCAAGCUCAACAGGGUCUUCUUUCCCCGCUGAUUAUUCCAAGCCCGUUCCCUUGGCUGUGGUUUCGCUAGAUAGUAAAUAGGGACAGUGGGAAUCUCGUUAAUCCAUUCAUGCGCGUCACUAAUUAGAUGACGAGGCAUUUGGCUACCUUAAGAGAGUCAUAGUUACUCCCGCCGUUUACCCGCGCUUGUUUGAAUUUCAUCACUUUAACAUUCAGAGCACUGGGCAGAAAUCACAUUGCGUCACCACUUUUUCACACCAUCACAAUGCUUUUUUUGAGUAAACAAUCGGAUUCCCCUUGUCCGCUCCAGUUCUGACUUGGCUGUUCCUUGCGCAAGGAAAGUUCAUAGAGCAUUCCUUGUUCACCAAUCAUUGCCAUGCACAAAUCCAAUUUUUACCAGGGGUGUCAAGUAGCUGUUGCUCAGCUCAAACAUCAGUACAAGGACCCCUGCACCCAACCCUCAGCGCCAAUCUUUUUCCCAAAGUUACGGAUCUGUUUGGCCGACUUCCCUUGCCUACUUUGUUCUACCAACCAGAGGCUGUUAACCUAGGAGACCUGAUGCGGUUAUGGGUACAAAUAGGUGUGCAAAUAAAGAAGCGCAUCUGGCUUGUCAAGGACAGUUGAAGGCACACCAGACACCUCGAAAGACAAAGUGAUCUACCCACACAAGACCCUUGCUCCAGGCAAUCAAUAUUUCAGGGUGCUACAUGGUGACAAAGAAAAGAGGACCCCCCCCUGCAAGGCCACAGUUGGUUAUGUCACCAUGUAGCACCCUGAAAUAUUGAUUGCCUGGAGCAAGGGUCUUGUGUGGGUAGAUCACUUUGUCUUUCGAGGUGUCUGGUGUGCCUUCAACUGUCCUUGACAAGCCAGAUGCGCUUCUUUAUUUGCACACCUAUUUGUACCCAUAACCGCAUCAGGUCUCCUAGGUUAACAGCCUCUGGUUGGUAGAACAAAGUAGGCAAGGGAAGUCGGCCAAACAGAUCCGUAACUUUGGGAAAAAGAUUGGCGCUGAGGGUUGGGUGCAGGGGUCCUUGUACUGAUGUUUGAGCUGAGCAACAGCUACUUGACACCCCUGGUAAAAAUUGGAUUUGUGCAUGGCAAUGAUUGGUGAACAAGGAAUGCUCUAUGAACUUUCCUUGCGCAAGGAACAGCCAAGUCAGAACUGGAGCGGACAAGGGGAAUCCGAUUGUUUACUCAAAAAAAGCAUUGUGAUGGUGUGAAAAAGUGGUGACGCAAUGUGAUUUCUGCCCAGUGCUCUGAAUGUUAAAGUGAUGAAAUUCAAACAAGCGCGGGUAAACGGCGGGAGUAACUAUGACUCUCUUAAGGUAGCCAAAUGCCUCGUCAUCUAAUUAGUGACGCGCAUGAAUGGAUUAACGAGAUUCCCACUGUCCCUAUUUACUAUCUAGCGAAACCACAGCCAAGGGAACGGGCUUGGAAUAAUCAGCGGGGAAAGAAGACCCUGUUGAGCUUGACUCUAAUCUGACUUUGUGAAAUGACUUAGGAGGUGUAGCAUAAGUGGGAGUUUGGGCGAUCUUGAAAUACCACUACUCUUAAUGUUGUUUUACUUAUUCUGUAUCGUUGGAACUUGAAUGUCUCAAGUUUUUGUAAUAAUGGUGCCACCCAUGGCGCUUGACCUUUGUGGAAAACAUUGUCAGGUGGGGAGUUUGGCUGGGGCGGCACAUCUGUUAAAUGAUAACGCAGGUGUCUUAAGGUAAGCUCAAUGAGAACAGAAAUCUCAUGUGGAUCAAAAGGGGAAAAGCUUGCUUGAUUUAAAUUUUCAGUGCGAAUGCAAACUGUGAAAACAUGGCCUAUCGAUCCUUUAGGUUUGAGAAUUAUUCAGCUAGAGGUGUCAGAAAAGUUACCACAGGGAUAACUGGCUUGUGGCAGCCAAGCGU
rnacentral:rRNA from 1 species